CACGUAGGGUGCGAGCGUUUGUCCGGAAUUAUUGGGCGUAAAGAGCUCGUAGGCGGUGUGUCGCGUCGGCCGUGAAAACCUGCAGCUUAACUGUGGGCUUGCGGUCGAUACGGGCAUCACUGGAGUUCGGCAGGGGAGACUGGAAUUCCUGGUGUAGCGGUGAAAUGCGCAGAUAUCAGGAGGAACACCGGUGGCGAAGGCGGGGUCUCUGGGCCGAUACUGACGCUGGAGGGAAGCGAAAGCGUGGGGAGCAAACAGG
rnacentral:rRNA from 1 species